GAAACUGAAUGAACAGUGCCAAACCUGUUCAUUCAGCCACAUAGGACUUAAAGGGGACUUGCUUUCCUUAAUUUCAAACCUCUUGAUUGUUGAAAUCAAUCACCGAUAGAGAGAGACCUGAAAGAGAGAGAGAAGACAUGCGACAUAAUAGACAGAGAGACAUGGUAGGGUGCUUCCACGUCUUCGAUGGCAGAGACGGUGGUUAAACCGUCGGAAUGGGUGAGAUACCGGUGCCGGAUUCUCUGGCGGUGAGAGACCUGGGAUUUCUAGGGUUCCGUCGAGGUCCGGUGAGAAUCCGGUGACCUGAACCAGGUAUGCAUGUAUCCUUUAUAGUUAGAUCGGGUCAUGGUUGUGGUUUACAACGGUGGUGGUGGUAGGGACGUGGUGGAAACCGGUCACGGAUAGGGUAGAGAGACACAUCUGGAGAGGAGAGAAAUAGAGUAGAGAGGCGGCUGUUAGGGCAAGGGUUUCACCGUCGAAGAAGUAGGGCCAUCUGACGGAGAUCGCCAGUAGGAGCUGAAGUCGAAGGAGAAAGGAACGGUGAAGGUGCCGUUGUAGAUUUAAGAGAUAAAACAUUCGAUGCCGGCGCAGAAGCUGGUGAAAACAAUGGUGCGGAAGCUGGAGAUUUACCGAAUCAUAUUCGUACAUCGGCGGCCUUAAACGCUUCAAUCGGCGGUGCAAACACCGGGAAUCCUUUCCCCGUUGCCAUCUGGUAAGGUUUAUGUUUCAAUUGGCUAACGAUCUGGCCUUAUUCGUGAGCGCCACUGCCGUCAGAUGUCGUUGAUAGGUUUGUUGACUAAUUGGUUUGAGAUUUGUCAAAGAUUGUUAGAUUGGUGAGUUUUGUGAAUUGUGGUGAAGACUUACAAAAUUAGCUUAGUGUGUAUUGAUGUUGCUGCUAUUCUUUUGAAUCCAUUUGAAGUAUGCCUUUUAAUGGAUUAUUUAUCACCCUUUUAUUUUAUACUUGCUUUGGGUUGUCUGGGAUUUGAUUCCUAAUUCGUUUGUUGUGUUGGUUAUAAUUUCAUCUCAGAUGAGUCAGGUUCGAGCAGAUCUUGGCCUUAUUUCAAGAGCAAAAGGGUAUUUCAGUGUUUAAAAUUAUUACAUGUUUACACAAGAUUAAACGAUUUGCUAAAUCUCAAAGGUGUGUUGGUUAAUAUUGGCUGUUUCUUAAUUUUUGAUGACGGUUGGUCGGCCGUUUCUAAUGGAAAUGAAUAGUGGGACAUAUUCAUUGGGCCAACUCUUCAGCCCACAUGUUCAAUUCCUGUUAAACCUUUUGCCACGCAUGAAAACACCAGCCAUAAACCCACCGCCCCUUCUGAUUAAAAAAAUGACACGAUUGCCAUAGAUAUGGUUGGUGAAAGGAGAGAGCGCCAGGCACGACGGCGAGUGGCCAGGCUGUGGUGGAGCAACGGCGGUAAUACCGAUUUCCGUCGAGUGCUUGGUUGGGAUUCACUAAACAGAAGACGAGGAGGAGGCUUAUGGUAGAUCGGUUCGGUCACACAAGCGGCCGUGAUGGUCGUACUAAUUAUUCUUCAUAAUUUGUGUUUAUGUCAGGUUAGGAUUUUAGGCUGUGAAAGGAUGAUCGCAUUACUCAACUGGCUGGAUAUGCAAAAAUGACUUGAGGUAAAUAUCUUUGGAUUUUUCAUCUCAUAUGAUUGUGUUAUGAGGUUGGGUCACUUUCAAUGUUUGAAUUGAUAUGACAUAAACAAAGUAGUUUGUUAGAUUGCAGGUCACAUUUUAUUUGUAACGGGUCAAACUGCAAAAUGUAAGGUAAUAUUAUAGCUUGUAGAUCAGCUUACAACUUUGAUUGCAAUAGUUUUUUAUUUUGUAGAUUGCAGCUAGCAUCUCUGCAUAUGGUAGGGUGAAUAUGGGUUGUUGAUCAGCUUGCAGCUUUGAUUGUAACAACUGUUUUUUUGUGUGUGCAUAUGGGAAGCCAUUGCCAUUGGGUUCCAAUAAGAUUAUCACAUAUUUGAGUUUCAAUAUUAUAAAAUUCAUUCCAGAUGACUGAUGCAAAAGCAUUUGAGCAUCAUAUAGCCAUCAUUUGCAAAUUUAAUUGUCAAUCGUAAAAUUACUACACAUACUGUAUGUGCUUACAUAUUGUUUGUAGUUUUUAUAUUACUUAGCCAUGUUUUUUGGCAUUAAGAUAAAUGGUGAAAAAGGUCCAUAUUUCUAUUAUGUUUGUGGUUGAAGCUUUGCUAUAUUCAACCCUUACUAGACUUCUUAUGUGCAGGUAUUAGAACGAUACUCGGUGCAAAACUAACUUUGUUCAACAAGUAUCUAAAUUCUUUUUAUAUAUGUGUUAUCACCAAACACAAUCUGUCAUUAGUCCAAUCGCACCAGAAUUCACCUACAAACUGGAAUUCCUGCUGCAACCAGACUUCACCUUCAAACUGGUAUUCCCGUCGCGACACACGGGCGGUUUUAGUAAAUACAAAACAUGUAUUACGGAUAUUUCUCUUUGUUCGGUUCUUUUUAUCGUUGUAAUGUGUGUAUUUUUAGUUUUUGAUAUAUUUUAGGUUUUUUUUUCUU